rnacentral:lncRNA from 1 species
GAGAGGCUGAGGAGUACGUACCAAGGGACAGUUUGUGAGACUCUGGUAGGUCCGUGACUGAGGGCACCCUUGUGGGAUGCUGAGUGUAGCCAUCAGGAAGCUGGGUCCCAGCCAACUCAGCCUGGGCUCUGCCGUUCUCCAGUGGUCAGAUAAGAAAGAGCGGUGUGGUCCUCUAAGGGAGUGAGCGAGGACUGCAGCUGCUUUGAGCCCUGGCCAGAGCCUCCAAUCAACCUUUGGUUCUGAUAAAGACAAGAAACCCAAGUACAACCUGUAGAGCCAGAGGUGGGGGCCAGGAAGCCCUGUUCUAGUCUCUCUGCACAACCUUGAGCCAUCUCAUCAUCUGCACAUCUGCCUGAACCUCAGUCUCCCACUCUGGACGUUGUCGGGGUGAUGGAGCAAGCAUUCAGUUAUUCUCUGCUGGAUUCUGAUGUGGUCUAAAGUCCACACUUUGUUGUGAAACACCGCAAUCUGUGAUGUACAGAACCUAUUACUGCGGCCACCCAGGAAUGCUGGGGGCAGGCCUUUUGAGAAGGUGAAUCAGCGUGUGUUAGCUCAGGGCAGAGGGCCUGGCGGUGAGACGUGAGAACAGCCAAUGUCAUGGCGGUGGGGGAGUGGACGUGAGCCAUCUGGGGCCCAGCAAACAGCAUGUUGAAAAAAACGAGGAACUCAAAGGCAGAUGAGCCUACCACGCUGGGAACAGUUGGGAGUACAUUGCUCAAGGGCUUGGAAUGGAGGGGGUGGAGUUGAGGAGAUCACAGAGGACCUAGGAGUGUGUGUAUCGGAGAGAGAUAGGAAACCACUGACCGUUCAGCACACAUUCAGAAUUACUGCCUGUCCCAGGGAGGGACCCACAGCUCCGGCGCUCCGUUCAGCAUCUGGAAGAGCAUAGCUCGCUGUGAGCGGCCGCCCCAGAAGACUGUAUCCCACCCAGCCAGCUCUCCUGCCUGCUUGCCUCUGCCCCACACCAGGACACUUCAUACUGUCAGAACCACUGGGUGUGUGAGCUUGUGAGAGGGUGUGUGGGCACACAUGUCCCUGUGUGGGGUGUGGAGGUCAGAGGGCAACUUGGAGGAAUUGGUUCUCUCCUUCCACCACUGGGGCCCAGGAAUCAAGCCGAGGUUCCCAGACGUGGUAGCAGCCUCCCUUACCUGUUAAACCAGUGCUUCCCAGACUUCCUAAUGCUGUGACCUCAUGCUGUGCUGACCCCCGCCCAUGACAUUAUCUCUGUUGGUAUUUUAUAACUGUAAUUUUGCUACUAUUAUGAAUCACAAUGUAAA